UUCAUGGAGAGUUUGAUCCUGGCUCAGGACGAACGCUGGCGGCGUGCCUAAUACAUGCAAGUCGAGCGGACAGAUGGGAGCUUGCUCCCUGAUGU
rnacentral:rRNA from 2 species